UACGAAGGGGGCUAGCGUUGCUCGGAAUUACUGGGCGUAAAGCGCGCGUAGGCGGCUUUGCAAGUCGAGUGUGAAAUCCCCAGGCUUAACCUGGGAACUGCAUUCGAGACUGCAUGGCUAGAGUAUGGGAGAGGGAAGUGGAAUUUCAGGUGUAGCGGUGAAAUGCGUAGAUAUCUGAAGGAACAUCAGUGGCGAAAAGCGACUUCCUGGACCAAUACUGACGCUCAUGUGCGAAAAGCGUGGGGGAGCAAACAAGGAUUAAGA
rnacentral:rRNA from 1 species